AUGGAAGAGGACCUCCUGGUGAUAGUGGGCCAUGGUUCUCUCCAGCUCCUGAGCCAGGUCCUGGGCGAUCUUCUUGUGGAGGUUGCAAACCUGGUAGGUGCGGUUGAGGUCUCUAUACAGGCCGGCCAGGCGCUUCUCUACCGCCAGGCACUGAGCUUUCUUUUGAAACAAUUGGCGGUGAAGUUGCCGGGUGUGUUGGUCCUGUUCGUCCUCCUGCUUCUGAAGGGUGAGCUUCAGCUGCUGAAUCUGACUCUCAAGCUGGGAAUUUUGUGCCUGCAAAGAGGCCUCCCGGGUUUGGAGACUGUGUAUUUGUCGGACGAGCUCUGGGAUCUCUGGCCUUUCUGCCCGAGGCUGUGUGGCUCUGUCCCCAGGCUCCCCUUUGGGUCGUCGAGGGGACACACUGAGGCCGCCACCGUCAGGGCCAGCCUUCAGGUCAACGGCUGCCCGCUGGAUGAGGUGAUCACCACGUCCUGCUUCUCUCUUUGGCUGGACCCCCCCGUUCUCGGCCCCCCCGAGAUCCGCAGGGAGGUCGGGCAAGGGGACGGCCUGCAGGCCCGGGUCUACACUGGGUGGGGACCGGCUGGCUGGACCUCUCGGGACCGGCUUCAUGCCUGCCUCCCCCUGCUCCAGCCUUUCUUCUCGCUCCUUGUCCUGUCCUCUCUGCCUGCAUCUCGAAAUUUCACUGUGGAGCAGAUCUGGACUUUCUGGAAAGUGAACGUUCUCCCUCAUGUCCUUCUGGGCUUCGCUCGGCAGUUGGUCCCCAGCCUCCUCUGAGGAUCUUAGGAUGGGUUUGUCCCCAGGAACUUGGGGACGUUGAAGACGUUGUCUCUUCUGUGUCAUCUUCACAAAGUUGAGAGUGUUCCAAAGUAACAGCGUGUCCAGGUUUCUAUUAAAUGCCAACAAGCACAGGAUUUGUAACCUGGGCGGACUGACCUCCCCCCUGGGAGGCCUGUGGGCGUCAUCUGUCUGUGUGGUGGCCGCUCUCUUCUCACUGGGGGCUCCACAGACUCCAUGGGGGUCAGAGCAGCUUCUGCCCAGGGCCUUCCCUCUUCGGGGAGUGAGUCGUCUCUUCACGAGGAAAACCAGCCCCACGGUACACAGCAGCAUGGCCCAGGGAAACACAGGGCCACAUGGGCUGUGUCCCCAGCUGCCAGUAAUCACCAGCAGCGCUUGCCACAGGCACUCCAGGACCAGCUGGAAAGUGGAUCCGGUGGCCGAAGCCGGGCCCUCCAAGGCUGUGUAGAGCUCCAUAGCUCUGGCUCCGAGUGCCAGCGUCCUGUGGGCCACAACUGCCCACUCAGAACCCUGUGGAGAGUUCCAUCUCUAAAGUAAACAAGUUCCAGGCAACCAGGGCAUGUCAGUUGGUUGGGGGAGGGGAGCCCAGCAGGGUCUUGAAAACAGUUCUCCCUAACUGCUCUGAAGGAGAACGUGAUCUCAGUCACACAAGCACUGGGGGAGGUGCCUGGAGCUUAGGCACCAGCCUGGAGCUGAGGCACCCACGUCCCCCGGGGUCCUCCAGGGAACCUAGGGGGUCAAGGCAGGGCCAGGCCCUAUUCCUUUCUGAGGACAAGAGAAGUCAGGGCAGAGAGUUAGGGUCUCCUGCCCUGGCCAGGCCAAUUCUCGAUCUCAUGUUCCCUCUGCUGCUGGGGCUCCUGGUCCUGUCUGCAAAGGUCCCAGGGAUCUCCCUCCUCUGAGGCUCCCUCCCUCAUUGGUGUGGUUCCUGUGGGCAGGCUGGUCACUGGGGGUUGAGACCCUGGGUGUCCCCAGAAGUCCU
rnacentral:lncRNA from 12 species